rnacentral:lncRNA from 1 species
GAAAUCUAUGGCUCCAUACAUAAUCAAGCAAACUAUUGUUUGAACAACAGUAGGAUAAUACUGCCAAAGGACCAGGUUAGACGAACCUCAUGGUUUCAGGCUAUUAAGCCACGACGAUGAUGAUGUAAAGCUUUGGGCUGCGGUUACUCGAUACAUUUCUGUGUUCUUAGUACUUCAUCACCGGUAAAUCGCUCACACUUGUGUAUCUAACUAACUAUGUGUAUUGCAUAAAUAUUGCUAGUUAGCUUGUAGUAAGGACUAGUGAGCUGUAUCCGACCAAGUUACAGCUGUAAUAUUAUUCUGCAUUUGGAAAUUUAUGCAAAUCUGGAGAUUCCACCAAAUUGGUGUUGACGUCAACAUAGACUACUUUGGGCAUUUUGGUAGGUUUGUCUCCCCAGGUGGUCUCCAGGAAGUUGAAAGGACAUACAGGCAAGCCGAUAAGAAUAAACUUUUGUAAAUACCUCGACCGUUCAAGGGCAGGCACAGAAUGGACGUAGUUACUUGACAUAUCUAAAACUAGAUGAUUAGAUCGAUAGUAAUUUAUUUCGUUAGCCAGCCAGCUAACGUCAGCUAAUUGGCAACAAAAAUAAUUACUAGGGGUAAACAAACGGUGGCGUAAGUAUGCGACAGCUUCUCUGUCAGUGUUAGUACGUCGCGUAACAGAUUAGUGGCACAUGUAAAUCACUUGUUGUUGUAACAGCCAAGUUGGCAAUUUUAAUAACGAAACGUGAGGCUGCUGAAAACGUUUAUUGAAAUGACAAAAAAAAAGCGUCACUUUGCUUAGGAUACCACCAAAGUUAGGCUAAUUACCCCACCCAUGUUAAGUCACGCCUCGACGUCUAUUUAUGUCGCUGAUGAAUUGCGUCAUCGGUCGCUGUCUUAAAAUCGUCACUGUCAGUUUUUCCCCUCAAAUUAAUGCUGUGUUCAAAACAACUGGGAACUCAAAUCUCCGACUUCAGUGUGUUAAAAAAAAAACUGGGAACUCGGGAAAAAAAAGAGCUCCGACUGGGGGAAAAUCGAUUUCAACAGUCAUCAAACUCGGGAAUCGGGCUUAUUUGUUCUUUCUAGAGUUCCGACUUUUCGAUUUGAAGUUGACUGACGUCAAGAUUUUACCUCAUAUUCUUCCGAGUUCGUAUUUGGUUUGAAUGCAGCAACUUUUUCCAAGUAAAAACUGCAUAGCGAUUUUAUCGUAUACCUCGAUCUGGCGAAACGUCAAGAUGUUUCAGAGAUUACAAAUAUUUCUGGAGUGACUGAUGCCCAUCAGAUGAAAUAUGUGGUGAAUGAAGAAAAAGUGAAGUCUAGUUGUCCUUUUGUUUCUGAUAUGGAUUCACUUCCUACUCAAGUGUAGCUGGGAUAUAUAAACUGCAGAGUCAGAGCAUGUAUGUGACCCAAUCAAAUUUGAUUUGACAGACUCAUUCUUCCAAUCAUGAAGUCUGUAGAAAUUGCGCCAGAAAGUGUGCUUGUCGCGCCUCCUCGUCACCGCUGGAUGGACAGUGCGGGGUGGUCAGUAGCUGGAGUCCGUUUUCAACGACAUGAAGUCUGGGUCUGAGCCUCUCAUUCACUCGGACAGGAGAACGACACGCAGAAGCAUGGAAUUGGAUAUUUAUUUCCAGGAAUACACAGACCAUGCAGCACAGACAGAAAACAAUGGGGGAUACAUGUCAACAGAUCCUGUCACGGUGUCUUCACAACGAUUCAACUUGGACAUUAAGCUCCACCCUGAGUCUCCACCCUACCACAACAGACCUCUGGUAACCAGCGCAGGACAGUCACUAAACAGAAGAAAAUAGACCGAAACUCUUGUGUGCAUUAAUGCAUACGACCCUGGAUACUGUUUCAGCAAACUGAAGUCUUAGGCUGUUCAGUGGACACUAGAUGGGGUAGAUCAUUACAUUGAUUGUUUUUAUUAAUGUGUUUCUAUUUUUGUAAGCUGCACUGACAUUCUGUUUUCUGGAUUGUAAACUGCUUUAAGUGCACUGUUGUGGCACAUGUUUUCAUAUGUGUAAAUAAAACCAAUCUAUAUAUUUGCCCAUUUGUGUUUUAGACAUUAUCCAUCACAGUUUGUAAUACUGAACAACUAUUGCUGCUGUAUGUAGAUAUUAACUGUACAUAGAAAAUACAUGGGUAAUAAAUAUAUAGAAAUUAAC